GAUGAACGCUGGCGGCGUGCCUAAUACAUGCAAGUCGAGCGAACGGACGAGAAGCUUGCUUCUCUGAUGUUAGCGGCGGACGGGUGAGUAACACGUGGAUAACCUACCUAUAAGACUGGGAUAACUUCGGGAAACCGGAGCUAAUACCGGAUAAUAUUUUGAACCGCAUGGUUCAAAAGUGAAAGACGGUCUUGCUGUCACUUAUAGAUGGAUCCGCGCUGCAUUAGCUAGUUGGUAAGGUAACGGCUUACCAAGGCAACGAUGCAUAGCCGACCUGAGAGGGUGAUCGGCCACACUGGAACUGAGACACGGUCCAGACUCCUACGGGAGGCAGCAGUAGGGAAUCUUCCGCAAUGGGCGAAAGCCUGACGGAGCAACGCCGCGUGAGUGAGGAAGGUCUUCGGAUCGUAAAACUCUGUUAUUAGGGAAGAACAUAUGUGUAAGUAACUGUGCACAUCGUGACGGUACCUAAUCAGAAAGCCACGGCUAACUACGUG
rnacentral:rRNA from 1 species